rnacentral:rRNA from 1 species
AACGAACGCUGGCGGCAUGCCUAACACAUGCAAGUCGAACGAGACCUUCGGGUCUAGUGGCGCACGGGUGCGUAACGCGUGGGAACCUGCCCUUAGGUUCGGAAUAACUCCCCGAAAGGGGUGCUAAUACCGGAUAAUGUCUUCGGACCAAAGAUUUAUCGCCUUUGGAUGGGCCCGCGUUGGAUUAGCUAGUUGGUAGGGUAAAAGCCUACCAAGGCGACGAUCCAUAGCUGGUCUGAGAGGAUGAUCAGCCACACUGGGACUGAGACACGGCCCAGACUCCUACGGGAGGCAGCAGUGGGGAAUAUUGGACAAUGGGCGAAAGCCUGAACCAGCAAUGCCGCGUGGGUGAUGAAGGCCUUAGGGUUGUAAAGCUCUUUUACCCGGGAAGAUAAUGACAGUACCGGGAGAAUAAGCUCCCGCUAACUCCGUG